UCUAGCGGCUUCAAGACAAUCAUUAGGGAAAUGAUAAAAAUAGGUUCCCUUAUUGAUUUAUCCCUUUUACCCAAUGCUCCUUCCUUCAACCAGUUGACUGGUUUCCUUAGCAACACAGCUAAUUUGAGCAGCAUGGCUCGGCCUGCACACCUGCCAUUUGUUUAGUUCCUUCUUUAGUAGAGAAAGCUGGGGCAAGGCAGAGGGUGGGCCUAGUGCUGCUAUGGUGCUGGCUUUGCUUACCAACAGAGCCCCAGGAACCCGGUUGGAGCUCGUGCCUUGCACUGCUCUGCAAGCAAAGCUACCCUGACCCAAGCCAACAUCUCAGAGACACAUCUGCAGGCUGAAUUCCAGAGUUCCCGGGGUGCUCCAGCUCUUUCACAACAGCCUGCAAGCACCCAAACCUCACACUUACUAACAGAAGGAUAAGGAAGCCUCAGAAGAUAAAGGGGUCAGAGAGGAGAUGAUGGAGCAGAGAAAGAACACAAAUGAAAGAGAAGAGAAAAUGGAAUCAAAAGAGCCCUGGGUUCUACUUGACACUCGGUCACUUACUGAUUCGUGGUGACACAUAGCCGAUGGAGGUCUCAUUUAUUAAACAGCCCUGUCCAGAGACAUUGAAUGUGUGGCUAAAACCGGAGCAAUGAAAUGCUGGAGUCCCAUCACCUGCGUUCAAGUUCACUGGAGAUGGCCUUGGAAAAUAGUUUAACCUUCUUUAGCCUCAGAUUCCCCAUGGCCCCAUGAGACAAUGGUGUGAAAAUUGAGAAGAGUGACACAGUUUAAAAACUUUCAACUCACAGAGAACCUAAAAGGCUGAGAGGGACCGUGAAGGAUUCAUGUUUCUCCUCCCCCACGUUUGCAGAGCUUCCUUUCUGGUCCAGAAGGUCACUCACACCACCAUGUGCCUUGACAAUGACACCACAGUCUCAUCCCCAGAAAGAUCCAUUCAUGAUGCUACCCAGAACACUUCUUUUUCCACUAAGCAGUACCUACUGUGCAGCUACAUCUCAUAUUUUUGAGCCUCUCAGAAGGGCAGAAGGAAAAGCCUCGAACACAGUUUCCAGAUUCUUCAGCGAUGCCAUGCAGAUACAACAAAAACAGCAGGACCAAUGCCGCUGAAAAAGUAAAGCCCCGAGAUGACACAGCUGUUGGCAGUGAUGAGCUCAAUUCUCAUGGACCAAAAGACCACACGUGGUGCAGGUACAGCACAGGUCCUCUCUCCAAAGCCCUACACAAUAGGAUUGGAUCUCACGACCCUGAGACUGGCACCUGGGUGCUACAUUCCCAAGCCUGGGGUUCAGUCUCUGACAUUGUGGGGUGGAGGAACAACCCCCAGGAAGUAGUCACUGCUCUAUUAGGAGGAUAGCUCACAUAAAUGACUUUCAAGUCAUUGUUACUGUUUCCUUUGAUGUAGCUCGUCUUCCCUCCCUUAAGGACAUACAUUCCAGUGACUCUUUUGCUUUCCAGAGACAGGGAUAUGAGAAUCGUCAGAGUUUAUGGGCAAAACAUUUAGAAUACUCCUCGAAUAUCGACACAUCACAGACAUUUCCUUGAAACAGGCUGUACACACAAGACAACACUAGAUCAGAGGAGCCUACAAACUUUGCGUUGUACUUUCUGUCCUUAAGACUGAUGCUGGAGACAUCAUGGGAAAGCCCACACAAGUCCUCUCUGUGUAGGCUAAGACUAUGAUAAGGGAAAUGAUGUAUAGCUCUCAUAUCUCUGGACCUUUUUUUUUUAAGGGACUGAUUUAAGAGCCGUGGGACACGAUGGUGACGGUGGUGGUGGCAGCAGUAGUGGGGGACCCUCUACAACACCACACCCCAAUUCCAACCUGAAUUCUUACUGGAACUUAAAAUGUUUAUUAGAAACCUGCUUCUUAGAACAGGGGUUCAACAUUUGUCAAUAUGAAAAUGGCAAAUUAACAUGUAGAGUCUGGGUGACAAAUACUUAGGGACAUAAAUACCUUAAUUAUGGUCCAUAAGUAAAAGGCAAUCAACUAUUUAUUUGUCAGAUACUCAAAUGCAUCAGGCUGCAGACAGUUAUUAUAAAAAAUGGCAAGAAAUAACAUGUUUAAAGGUUUUCCUCCAAGCUGCCUUUCUCUGUAUCUCCGUUUUACCAUAGACAACAGAAGACUUGAGAGAAAAUGCUGAUUUCUGAUACUGUCCCUUUGCAAAAGACCAUUGUCCUAUCUAAGCAGAGGUAAAUAACCUCGCUUUUUUGAAAAUUCUAGGAAAAACCCACAUCGGCAGUGAAUUAUUCACAAAGAUUGGACCUAAAAAUGAGAGAGGGAGAGCUACAGAUAAAACGAUAGGUAGAAGGCUUAGCCAAAAGAGAAAGUGAGGACCUGCCCUCUGGCUCCCUGAGUAAACAGUAUUGACUAUAUUGCAUUAGGCCCACCCUUUCAUGUCUUUGUGGUCAGUGGUAAACAGACCGGCAGUCUGUCCUCUGCAGGACUGGACUGUAGGUGGGAGAUGGUGUCCUGUGAGGGCAGCUUCCUUGGUGGCCCUAAGCAAGGGACUAGGAAGGACAACAAUCUGCUCAUUCAACAGGUAGAAUCAAUGGGUUUGCAAGAACUCUGACAGCUUAGCCAGUCUUGACUCAUUUUUGUUUUAAGCAAGAGCACAAAGUCUGGAAGAAACCAGAUGUUCCUAUGAAAAGAGAAGAAAGAAGUGGGGAGGGGUCACCUGUAUCUUGUACAGUACAAGCUGAAAAGCGAUAAACAGUGUUCAGUGGAGCCGCUAAAUCCAGUCUAGAUCUUUUGGUUGAAAGAAAGGUCUGCGCUCAUUAUUUUCCUCCUCUUCCUUUCACUCAUACUGUGUGCUACACCUAUUGAAAGGGAGGCAAUGGCAGCAAAGUGGGGGAGGAGGAAUAACAGCAUGCAAGUCAAUAGACGAAACUAUCACACCCAAGAUAUUUUUGCUCUCAUCCUCAAGGCAAAUUUCUUUCCUGUCAAAUUCUUUCAUUCCAACUCACUUUCCAGGCUGUAUCCCAGUUACAAAGAAUCCUUACUAUUAUUUUGGCCAGGCUUCUAGAAGACUCAUAACCCUCACUAUUCUUGGUUGUCAACUUGACUAUAUCUAGAAUGAACUGUAAUCCAGAAAUGGAGGGAACACUUGUGAUUUGGAUCUUGAGACAGGAAGAAAACACGCUUUUGAUCCGGAUCUUGGGAUGGGAAGGCACACCUUUAAUCUGGAAGACACCUUGCUGAAAGCCUAUAUAAAAACAAUGGAUGAAGGGAGGUUUGCUUUGAUCUUCACCUGCCUGCCUUUGCCUUGUCAGACAUCCAUUCCUUCACUGGCAUUGCAAACUACUUCUUUGAGAUUCCAGCAUAAGCAAAAGACCAGUUGAGACACCCAGCCUUGUGGGAUUGAGCAACUACCUGAUUCUUAGAGUUUCCAUUCACAGAAACACCUCAUAUAAAGAUAAAAGAUAAAACCAAUAGGCAAUAGAGAGACUAUUCUAGGAAACCCAGAAAUCAAAGAUCUCGAUCAUUUAUCCCUUGUGCCAACUACAGCCACAGAAUCAAUGCAAUGGAAAGUCAGUGGAAAAUAUGAGGGCUUUGUAUCAACCGACCACUGGAUUCAAUUACAGAUCUCAUCCUCGUUAAUCCCCGAUCUGUCUCAUGUCAAGACUCAUGAUUCACUGGAGUUACAUCAAACCUGAAUUUCUUAUCAGGCCUGUAGUUUACUAUCUUGCAAGACACGUAUAUUUAGAGGCAACAAGAAAAGAAGAGUAUAUGCCAAAACGAGAGAUUUGACACUUUCCAUAAUCCUCAAGAAAAUCCUCCAGAUAAAUUUACAAUUUCGCUGAACAAUUUACUUGGGGGGGGGGGUAAUCUGUGAUAUACACACAUAGCCUCAGACCAGUUUCUAAAAUGCUCUAAGGAGAUCCACAAGAAAUCAUGCUUUUGCAGCCACAGGUUCAUUAUAAUGAGCUUCAUCAGCUCAAAGGCUGCAAACAUAUUUGAUCUUCCUACUCUGAAUUAUGUUAAUUUCCACAUAAAACAUGUGCUUCCUGGUGAGAUGACCAAAUAGGUGAAGGAGGAAAAAUCUCCUACUGCCCAUCUAUGAUUAGAGCCUCCAAGUCAGACAUGUCAUUUCUUCCCUUCACCUCUGACCUGGAAAAGUGAAAAUGAGGGUGGGCUGUCUCACAAACUACGUGAGAGAUCCCAAGAGUCUACCCACAGGGCAUCUGUCCCUGAGCAAAAACAGUCAG